GUAAGGGAUUUUUAUGAUAGCAUAGGAUAAGGUGAGAAAUGUGAGGGAUUUACAUGAUAGCACAGGAAAAGGUGAGAAAUGUGAGGGAUUUACAUAAUAGCACAGGAAAAGGUGAGAUAUAUAUGAGGGAUUUACAUGAUAUCAUAGGAAAAGGUUAGAUAUAUGAGGGAUUUAUAUGAAAGAACAGGAAAAGGUGAGAUAUGUGAGGGAUUUACAUGAUAGCACAGAAAAAGGUGAGAUAUAUGAGGGAUUUACAUGAUAGCACAGGAAAAGGUGAGGUAUGUGAGGGAUUUACAUGAUAUCACAGGAAAAGGUUAGAUAUGUGAGGGAUUUAUAUGAAAGCACAGGAAAAGGUGAGAUAUGUGAGGGAUGUACAUGAUAGCACAGAAAAAGGUGAGAUAUGUGAGGGUACAUGAUAGCACAGAAAAAGGUGAGAUAUGUGAGGGAUUUACAUGAUAGCACAGGAGAAGGUGAGGUAUGUGAGGGAUUGACAUGAUAGCACAGGGUAAGGUGAGAUAUGUGAGGGAUUUACAUGAUAACACAGGAAAUGGUGAGAAAUGUGAGGGAUUUACAUGAUAGCACUGGAAAAAGGUAAGAAAUGUGAGGGAUUUACAUGAUAGCGUAGGAAAAGAUAAGAAAUGUGAGGGAUUUACAUGAUAGCACACAAAAAGGUGAUAUAUUUGAGGGAUUUACAUGAUAGCACAGGAAAAGGUGAGAUACUUGAAUUUGUUAUUCUCAUAAAAAAUGGUUAAAAAGGUCUUGAAAACCUGUUUAAAAAUGAAAAAGAAUGACAGAGUGCUUUGUUUAAAGUUGAAAGUUUUCUACAAAAGAUCCCAUUCUUUUCAGUACCAACAUCAAUAAAAAUGUUUGCUUAAUCAUAUUGUAAAAUAUAACAUAAUCUGUUGUUAAAAGUGAGAAGCUGCUGUAGUCAAAGUAAAGUCUUACAAUAUUUUGUCAUUAUGACUGAGUUACUUGCAGAGAAGAGAUAUAUGUGCUACAAAAAGGGCUUGAAUUUGGGCAUUGAAUGUCUUUAUGAACCCUACUUUAGAAAAGACCUGAUCUUGAAUGUCAUGUGACAUAGAAUGCACAAAUUGAAGUCUUUAAAAUGCUUGAUUAAAGUGACAUUAUGCCCAUUUUUUCAUUGUCAAAUUGACUUUGAUUGACUAUAUAUUUGAAUAAACUGGUCGUUAUAAUGGUGAUUGACCAUCACAUGAUAUUUGAAAAUGUGUAGGGUAAAAAAUAAAUCUACCUAAGUAUAUAAAAAGACUGCCCCAAUCUUUUUAGCUCACCUGUCACAAAGUGACAGGGUGAGCUUUUGUGAUCGCUUUUCGUCCGGCGUCCGUCCGUCGUCCGUCCGUCCGUAAACUUUUACUUUAAAUGACAUCUCCUCAUAAACCACUAAGCCAAUUUCAUCCAAACUUCACAGGAAUGUUCCUUUGAGCUAGAGCUUAGAUAUUUGGCAUGGAACAUCUUCUAGUGAGUGUCUACCAAGUUUGUUCAAAAAAAAUCCCUGGGGUCAAAAUUGGCCCCGCCCCAGGGGGUCAUUGAUUUUCCCUAUAUGCAUAUAGUAAAAACUUAAAAAUUCUUCUUUUAAAGAACCCAAAGAGCUAGAGCUAAGAUAUUCAGCAUGAAACAUCUUCUAAUGAGUGUGUACCAAGUUUGUUCAAAUAAAAGCCCUGGGGUCAAAAUUGGCCCCGCCCCAGGGGGUCAUUGAUUUUCCCUAUAUGCAUAUAGUAAAAACUUACAAAAUCUUCUUUGAAAGAACUCAAAGAGCUAGAGCUAAGAUAUUCAGCAUGAAACAUCUUCUAAUGAGUGUCUACCAAGUUUGUUCAAAUAAAAGCCCUGGGGUCAAAAUUGGCCCCGCCCCAGGGGGUCAUUGAUUUUCCCUAUAUGCAUAUAGUAAAAACUUAAAAAUUCUUCUUUUAAAGAACCCAAAGAGCUAGAGCUAAGAUAUUCAGCAUGAAA